rnacentral:rRNA from 1 species
ACCAGACUCCUACGGGAGGCAGCAGUGGGGGAUAUUGCACAAUGGGGGGAACCCUGAUGCAGCGACGCCGCGUGGGUGAAGGAGCGUUUCGGCGCGUAAAGCCCUAUCGGCAGGGAAGAAGAUGACGGUACCUGACCAAGAAGCCCCGGCUAACUACGUGCCAGCAGCCGCGGUAAUACGGAGGAUGCGAGCGUUAUCCGGAUUUAUUGGGUUUAAAGGGUGCGCAGGCGGAAUGUCAAGUCAGCGGUAAAAUUUCGGGGCUCAACCCCGUCGUGCCGUUGAAACUGGUUUUCUUGAGUGAGUGAGAAGUAUGCGGAAUGCGUGGUGUAGCGGUGAAAUGCAUAGAUAUCACGCAGAACUCCGAUUGCGAAGGCAGCAUACCGGCGCUCAACUGACGCUCAUGCACGAAAGUGUGGGUAUCGAACAGGAUUAGAUACCCGCGUAA